GAAACCUCCCCUGAACAAAAAAAACUCUAUCUCUCCUGAAGAGACAACCAAUCUCUAGCCUAAAAAAUCAAUCUACUCCUCCUACCGCACGACCUUUUUCAUGGAAAACGAAUCUAUCCAGGGUUCUUCCUCUUAUACGUGAUCUCUCUCUCUCUCUCUCUCUCUCUCUGCCCUUCUCAAGCCUAACAAAGUAAGUUCGCUAAUGUACAGGAUGUGCCCAAGGAGAUUAUUAGAUUAAACAAAUUUCCUAAUCAGGAUCAGGUUUGUUUUCUUGCGCUAACAAAUGAAUCUGUUGUUACUUUUUCUUUGAAUUUGGGUCUCUUCCCGACAUCUCUUCUUCAUGUCUCCAUGUCACGUCCCUGCACUUCAAACAGAAUUGGUUGUAGGUGUAAGCUGCUGCAGCUGGAAGCAGCGCAUCCUUCUUGGCAUCUUCGCUCUCCCACCCUCUGAUAUGGAAUCUGUUUUCCUGAGAUAAAGAAACUGUAUUCGCGUGGGUUGCGGUCUCACCAAAAAGAUUGAACAAGUGCAUGUUUGAUCUUGAGGUUAUGUACGUGCAUGUUCAGGUCAGUCGAGCGCAACUUCUACGUUGGAAUAGAUCGUGUUUAUAACUCUAUAUACUCUCCACAGGUUGAAUCCCAAAUCUUCUCACGUACAAAUAUUUGGACACAUCAUGGAGUUUGGGUUGAAGCACAACUAUGUCCAUGAGGUUAGCUUAUACUGUAUGAAUUAUUACACAUCCUGUCAGUUUGCAACAUCAUCCCAGGUCAACCUUCUCUCAUUGGGGGUGCCAAGGUUGUCUCUGUCCGUUCAUGUCAUCAUGCAGGUUUGAGAAUCGUCUUCACGUCCAAACAUUUUUAGAACAAUUUUUCAUUCCACUGAUUAUAAUGAAUACCCUGCUUACAAACUACCCAAGAACCUUUUGGUUAUCACUGUUCUAUACUCUUCUUUUUCAGCUAAAGCUUUGGAUUUGGUAGCCGCUUCUAGAGGCAAAACUACAAGUACGAAUCUUCGAAAAUUUGUGUUCUUUUAUUUGUUUAUUUGUCUAUCUGUCUAUUUUAUUACAUUAGAAACUAUAGAUUUUAAUAGCUAUACAUCUGGUGGACCUUCAUAAUAACUGCAUAUAUUAAUUUAUUACUUUGAUAUACUAAUUUAUAUUACACACGUUUAUUCUAAAGGAUAAAAUAUUUUCUCAAUCCGCUUUAUCUAUUGCAUAGGGAGACACAUAGGUGCCCGUUGCAUGAUUCCCAAAAGACAAUAUCUUCUGAAAAGAAAAUAUACAAUGGCCUCCUCCUUGACAGUCUGCCAUGCAUGCGGGUUUAAAAACUAAAAAAGGAAGACGAUCUAUUAUGGAGGAAAUUUGCAGCCGAGCAUAUUCCGAAUUUUAUCCUUGAUAGAUCGGUGCCGAGGCUUCAAGAUAGGAUUCGUGUCACGAUUGCAACUCAGAAUUUGUGUCAUGGCUGAAGGUGGAGAAGCAGCCUAUGCAUGACCGUGGCCUCUACGCCUGGGUCGACUUCCUCCCCAUCUACACUGGGAGGUGACCAAUUUUUGUGUCAUCUCUUAACUUUCCAAUCGCGUUUGUGUGUUGCUCUCAACCAGUAUUUACAUAUUGUGUUGUGUACCAUGCUGAUUGCACCCAGGCAUUGUAAAGAAUCCUUUGGUCCCCUAGGAUUAAAUUUUGCAAGGAACUGAUUAUGUCUGGAUUUAUCCCGUCACAUACAUACAGAGAAGUUUAUACUCUAACCCUACAAUUAAACUAAUUCUGAAUAUGUUGCUACUACCUAAACUAAAUGUAUGUAGGUUCAGAUGUAAAAUCUAAUUAAUUGACAUUUCAAUAAUCUGGGCUACUCUUAUUGGAAGAACAUAUUCUAAUUCGAGUUAUGUCCAAUGCAUCUAGAGAUUGGUGUGGCCUGGAGGUCGCAAUGAGUUGCACGGAAGAGAAGAUGUCCUUGAGAAAUGUGGCGACAAGGGCGCCCGUGUUGGGUUGUAGGUAUCGCUGGUCAUAUAGUUUUUGCUGUUACUUCGGAGCUGGUUCGUAUUGUAUUCUUGAUGGUUUUCCUUGCUAAUCAUUUGUAUGCACACAUAUACAUUUUUGCUGUAAUUAAUGGAUUGAAAGGUAUAUAUUAGUCCCAUUAGAAUUAGAAUUUGUGCUAUAUUGAGUUUGGACAUGGAGUUAAUGUUGAUCGGAAACGCUCUAUAAACUAGAUUAGUAUAUACUAUUUCAUUUUAUUCAUGUACCAUAUCUAUUGUUUUCAUAUGCAGCUUUUUUCAAUUGUAGACAUAAUUUAUAUGGGGAAAGAAUGGAUUGGUCCGUCUCUCUUACCAAAAGCGCCAUGAGACACGAUGAGAUCAUUGCGAUGAGACACGAUGAGAGACAACCACACAUGAAUUUUGUUUCAUAGUUUUCUUUAUGUUGAUCUAAACAUGAUCUAAC
rnacentral:lncRNA from 1 species